rnacentral:lncRNA from 1 species
CAAGUAUAAAAGUAAUUUAGUUUCGUUUUAAAUACAUUUUAGGGCCAAAGAAAAGUGGAACGAUUUAAAGAAAAAGAUGAAAUGAAUAAUAGGGCAAGUUGGGAGGUGGCUGUCCUGAGGUUUCAUGGGACAACAUUAAUUAACCUCAUGAAGUGCCUGCAUGGACAACGUGCCCGGUGUGGUUACAAACAAACCAAUCAGCACAGAUCCUGGGUGGAAAGCAGGGCGCAGCCACGGAGGCACAGUAGGGGUGCAGACUUGAAGGUUUUUAGGAGGUAAGCCCCGAGGGCACGAAGCUCCACGGAGAGACUGUUGACCCGCCUGGGAGUGCAGUGCAGUCACAGCAACCUCCAAAAACCCAACUUUGCAAAGAUA